AACGAACGCUGGCGGCAUGCCUAACACAUGCAAGUCGAACGAGACCUUCGGGUCUAGUGGCGCACGGGUGCGUAACGCGUGGGAAUCUGCCCUUGGGUUCGGAAUAACUCAGAGAAAUUUGAGCUAAUACCGGAUGAUGACGUAAGUCCAAAGAUUUAUCGCCCAGGGAUGAGCCCGCGUAAGAUUAGCUUGUUGGUGGGGUAAUGGCCUACCAAGGCGACGAUCUUUAGCUGGUCUGAGAGGAUGAUCAGCCACACUGGGACUGAGACACGGCCCAGACUCCUACGGGAGGCAGCAGUGGGGAAUAUUGGACAAUGGGCGAAAGCCUGAUCCAGCAAUGCCGCGUGAGUGAUGAAGGCCUUAGGGUUGUAAAGCUCUUUUACCAGGGAUGAUAAUGACAGUACCUGGAGAAUAAGCUCCGGCUAACUCCGUGCCAGCCGCCGCUGUAA
rnacentral:rRNA from 1 species